rnacentral:rRNA from 1 species
CCUACGGGAGGCAGCAGUAAGGAAUAUUGGUCAAUGGGCGCAAGCCUGAACCAGCCAUGCCGCGUGCAGGAAGACGGCCCUACGGGUUGUAAACUGCUUUUGUACCGGAAUAAACCUUUGUAUGUAUACGAAGCUGAAUGUACGGUAAGAAUAAGGAUCGGCUAACUCCGUGCCAGCAGCCGCGGUAAUACGGAGGAUCCAAGCGUUAUCCGGAUUUAUUGGGUUUAAAGGGUGCGUAGGCGGCCUAUUAAGUCAGGGGUGAAAGACGGUAGCUUAACUAUCGCAGUGCCUUUGAUACUGAUAGGCUUGAAUGUACUUGAGGUAGGCGGAAUGUGACAAGUAGCGGUGAAAUGCAUAGAUAUGUCACAGAACACCAAUUGCGAAGGCAGCUUACUAAAGUAUGAUUGACGCUGAGGCACGAAAGCGUGGGGAUCAAACAGGAUUAGAUACCCUGGUAGUCCACGCCCUAAACGAUGAACACUCGAUGUUGGCGAUAUACGGUCAGCGUCUAAGCGAAAGCGUUAAGUGUUCCACCUGGGGAGUACGCCCGCAAGGGUGAAACUCAAAUGAAUUGACGGCUGAGACGNGCGACGACGACGACGAGGGAGGAGG